GGAGUUAGCCGGUGCUUCUUCUGCGAGUAACGUCACAGAUGUAAGGUAUUAACUUACACCCUUUCCUCCUCGCUGAAAGUGCUUUACAACCCGAAGGCCUUCUUCACACACGCGGCAUGGCUGCAUCAGGGUUUCCCCCAUUGUGCAAUAUUCCCCACUGCUGCCUCCCGUAGGAGUCUGGGCCGUGUCUCAGUCCCAGUGUGGCUGAUCAUCCUCUCAGACCAGCUAGGGAUCGUCGCCUAGGUGAGCCUUUACCUCACCUACUAGCUAAUCCCACCUGGGCUUAUCCAUCAGCGCAAGGCCCGAAGGUCCCCUGCUUUCCCCCGUAGGGCGUAUGUGGUAUUAGCAGUCGUUUCCAACUGUUAUCCCCACAAAUGGGCAAAUUCCCAGGCAUUACUCACCCGUCCGCCGCUCGUCAUCUUCAAAAGCAAGCUUUUGAAAUGUUACCGCUCGACUUGCAUGUGUUAGGCCUGCCGCCAGCGUUCAAUCUGAGCCAGGAUCAAACUCUGA
rnacentral:rRNA from 1 species